UACGUAGGGGGCUAGCGUUGUCCGGAAUCAUUGGGCGUAAAGAGCGUGUAGGCGGCCCGGUAAGUCCGCUGUGAAAGUCGGGGGCUCAACCCUCGAAUGCCGGUGGAUACUGUCGGGCUAGAGUGCGGAAGAGGCGAGUGGAAUUCCUGGUGUAGCGGUGAAAUGCACAGAUAUCAGGAGGAACACCGAUUGCGAAGGCAGCUCGCUGGGACGUUACUGACGCUGAGACGCGAAAGCGUGGGGAGCAAACAGG
rnacentral:rRNA from 1 species